GCUCCUGUAGCUCAGUCGGUUAGAGCGUCGUGCUAAUAACGCGAAGGUCCUGGGUUCGAAUCCCAGUAGGAGCA